rnacentral:ncRNA from 1 species
AGGUGCUCGUUUUGUUUACAGAACGAGAGAAUUGGAAAGUUCGGUUUGAAACCGACGCUGGCCCGCAACCGUGAAAGGGGACGAGUCCGCACAAUGCCACUGGGAUUUGUGAUCCUGGGAAGGCGUGGACGCAGGAAGAUCCUUGAGCCGGGAAGCCAGCCUGGAGA